CGCCUGCCCUGUGACAAAUGUUUAACGGCCGCGGUAUUUUGACCGUGCAAAGGUAGCGCAAUCACUUGUCUUUUAAAUGAAGACCUGUAUGAAUGGCAUAACGAGGGCUUAACUGUCUCCUAUUUCCAGUCAAUGAAAUUGAUCUUCCCGUGCAGAAGCGGGAAUAUAACCAUAAGACGAGAAGACCCUAUGGAGCUUUAGAUACAAGACAGAUCUUGUUAAACACUUCAAAAUAAAGAAACGAACUAAAAGAACCCUGUCCCAUUGUCUUUGGUUGGGGCGACCACGGGAAGACAAACAACCCCCACGCGGACUGAGAAAACAGUUCUCACAACCAAGAGCUACAGCUCUAAUUAACAGAAAUUCUGACCUUAAGAUCCGGCACUGCCGAUCAACGGACCGAGUUACCCUAGGGAUAACAGCGCAAUCCCCUUUUAGAGUCCAUAUCGACAAGGGGGUUUACGACCUCGAUGUUGGAUCAGGACAUCCUAAUGGUGCAGCAGCUAUUAAGGGUUCGUUUGUUCAACGAUUAAAGUCCU
rnacentral:rRNA from 1 species